UGCAGUCUGCAACUCGACUACAUGAAGCUGGAAUCGCUAGUAAUCGCGAAUCAGAAUGUCGCGGUGAAUACGUUCCCGGGUCUUGUACACACCGCCCGUCACACCAUGGGAGUUGGGAAUGCCCGAAGCCGGUGACCUAACCGAAAGGGAGGAGCCGUCGAAGGCAGGCUUGAUAACUGGGGUGAAGUCGUAACAAGGUAAC
rnacentral:rRNA from 1 species